rnacentral:tRNA from 1 species
GUUUUCGUGGCCUAGUGGUUAGGGCGUCUGUCUUACAAGAGGUACUUCACCUUGAAGAUCACAGAAGAUCCCCGGUUCAAUCCCGGGCGGGAACA